AUCUCACAGCAAAACAGGGAACGCUAUCUGUUAGAGGAAGGUUUUGUGAUUACUGUGAGCGCUCUCUCAUUAUGAUACGAUCUGAUAUUCGCGUGUUAUUGACUUAUAAACUUAUACAACAUGCUUGCAACUAUUCAAAAUGGCCGCCGGUGUUUGUAAACAUUUACAAAAAGUGGAUUUUAUCUGGAAUGGAAGGACUAAUGAACAUAAAUUUGGACUCAGCUUGAAGAUAAAAUAUCCAGUGAUGCUGAUCUCCACUGCUGAUUGACGUAAGCGAGACUGACACACGCCUCCUCCAACACAUGCAUCUUUUCACCUGCACGAGGCGCCAUCAAUCAGCCAGCAGAGGUCGUAACUGCAUCAAUUAUAAGGCCCCUUUCUGGCUUCCCAUCCUGUAUGAACAACAAGCCAAUCAUUGUUCAUGUAGCCGCCCAGCCCAGCCGGAUGCGGAGCUGAGUUUCGAACCAACAAGAGGUCUGGUGUGCUAGACUGUUUAACCACUGUGCCACCUUAGCACUCGUGUGUGUUACAUAUAUAAUACAUAAGAAAUAAACAGUUCUAAUAUUAAAACAUGAUACAA